rnacentral:rRNA from 1 species
AUAACAUUUGGAAACAGAUGCUAAUACCGCAUAAAACCUAACACCGCAUGGUGUAGGGUUGAAAGAUGGUUUCGGCUAUCACUUUAGGAUGGACCCGCGGUGCAUUAGUUAGUUGGUGAGGUAAAGGCUCACCAAGACCGUGAUGCAUAGCCGACCUGAGAGGUAAUCGGCCACACUGGGACUGAGACACGGCCCAGACUCCUACGGAGGCAGCAGUAGGGAAUCUUCCACAAUGGACGAAAGUCUGAUGGAGCAACGCCGCGUGAGUGAAGAAGGUUUUCGGAUCGUAAAACUCUGUUGUUGGAGAAGAAUGUAUCUGAUAGUAACUGAUCAGGUAGUGACGGUAUCCAACCAGAAAGCCACGGCUAACUACGUG